GAUGAACGCUGGCGGCGCGCUUAACACAUGCAAGUCGAACGAAACACCUAAUUUGUUUUUCUUCGGAACUGAAUGUCUAAUGGUUGAGUGGCGCACGGGUAAGUAACGCGUGGGUGAGCUGCCAUGUACAGGGGGAUAUCAGACAGACAUAUCUGCUCAUACUGCAUAAUACCACAGCACCACAUGGUUCUGGUGUCAAGACUCCGGUGGUACAGGAUGGACCCGCGUCUGAUUAGCUGGUUGGUGAGGUAACGGCUCACCAAGGCGACGAUCAGUAGCCGGCUUGAGAGGGUGAACGGCCACAUUGGGACUGAGACACGGCCCAGACUCCUACGGGAGGCAGCAGUGGGGGAUAUUGCACAAUGGGGGAAACCCUGAUGCAGCGACGCCGCGUGGGGGAAGAAGGAUUUCGGAAUGUAAAGCUCUAUCAGUAGGGAAGAUAAUGACGGUACCUGACAAGAAAGCCCCGGCUAACUACGUG
rnacentral:rRNA from 1 species